rnacentral:lncRNA from 1 species
AAAUAAUCCCUUGCUCCACUUUAAUUGCUUGCGGCCCAAUAAACCAACAUCAAACUUGUUUUGUUUCAGCCCAUAUUAAACCCCAAACCGCCCAAACACCCCAUCCCUUAUUACGUACGUGAAAUCCCUCCUAAACCCAUAACCCUAGAGCGACAUCAGACUUAUUCCCCUCUGCUUCUCUCUAGUCGACUCAGGCAAGGUGCAAGGAGUCCUUAAAGUCCUUCGGUUUCAGGCUUUUGAUCAAUCCACACCAUCUCUUUAACUAGGUAACAAAUUUGAUUGAUGUUAUAUUGUGACGUGAUUGACCAACCGUGACCGUUAGCUAUUUUAAGGUUUCAACCGAGCAAACCAAGGUUGUUAGGUAUACAUGGAGCUUGCACUGGGAGGCGCGGUCGUUGUGGACAAGGAUCGUGAUUGCUUUGAUUAAACAUUUGACAUUUCAUAUUUUACUUAUGUUGGGCUUUGACUCAUAUGCUUCCGCUAGACGUUGAAUUUAUACUUAUGUUUUGAACACCUUUCAUAUGGAUUGGUUUGGUUUGGUUAAAUUACAUUUACUUUACU